rnacentral:rRNA from 1 species
UACUUAGUGGCGGACGGGUGAGUAAUGCUUAGGAAUCUGCCUAGUAGUGGGGGAUAACUUGGGAAACCCAAGCUAAUACCGCAUACGACCUACGGGUGAAAGGGGGCUUUUAGCUCUCGCUAUUAGAUGAGCCUAAGUCGGAUUAGCUGGUUGGUGGGGUAAAGGCCUACCAAGGCGACGAUCUGUAGCUGGUCUGAGAGGAUGAUCAGCCACACUGGGACUGAGACACGGCCCAG